GUUGACGUAGCUUAACUACAAAGCAUGGCACUGAAGAUGCCAAGAUGAAUCGUUAAAAAUUCCGGCGACA
rnacentral:tRNA from 1 species